rnacentral:rRNA from 1 species
GAUCAUGGCUCAGGAUGAACGCUGGCGGCGUGCCUAACACAUGCAAGUCGAACGAAGCACUUAGACAGAACCUUCGGGUGACGUAUUGGUGACUGAGUGGCGGACGGGUGAGUAACGCGUGGGUAACCUGCCCUGUACAGGGGGAUAACAGUUAGAAAUGACUGCUAAUACCGCAUAAGCGCACGAUGGUAGCAUUACCAGGUGUGAAAAAACUCCGGUGGUACAGGGAUGGGCCCGCGUCUGAUUAGCUAGUUGGCGGGGUAAGAGCCCACCAAGGCGACGAUCAGUAGCCGGUCUGAGAGGAUGAACGGCCACAUUGGAACUGAGACACGGUCCAAACUCCUACGGGAGGCAGCAGUGGGGAAUAUUGCACAAUGGGGGGAACCCUGAUGCAAGCAACGCCGCGUGAGUGACGAAGUAUUUCGGUAUGUAAAGCUCUAUCAGCAGGGAAGAUAAUGACGGUACCUGACUAAGAAGCUCCGGCUAAAUACGUGCCAGCCGCCGC